GACGGAGGACGCAAGCGUUGUCCGGAAUCACUGGGCGUAAAGCGCGUGUAGGCGGUCGGGUGCGUCGGUUCUGAAAGCCCCCGGCUCAACCGGGGGAGGGGUGUCGAUACGAUGCGGCUGGAGGGUGGCAGAGGGUGGUGGAAUUCCGGGUGUAGCGGUGAAAUGCGUAGAUCUCCGGAGGAACGCCGGUGGGGUAGCCGGCCGCCUGGGCCUGUCCUGACGCUGAGACGCGACAGCGUGGGGAGCAAACCGG
rnacentral:rRNA from 1 species